CCCUCGCCUCCUGCUUAAUUUCUGGAGAAGCCAAUUGGCUUAACCCCCCCCCCGAUUGACCGUAGCUUUUCCCCAGAGAAGGAGCCGCGCGCGUUAUCUGCCUUCCCCAGUUGGAGUUUGCGGCGUGAGAAAGCGGGGCUGGCGAGCACCUGCCUCUUAGUCAUCCCUGGGCUUGAGGAUGUCCCCAGAUUACAUCUUCUCAGCUGUUUGCAAAACAGCGCUGGGAGGAGCGCGAGCCCCGAAUUACACACAGCCGCGGCUGUCCCUUUAAAUGCUGGGGUCUGCGCGCCGGAGAGGGGAGGGGCCGGCUCCGGAGUGCGUGAAAUUCCUGGGCUCCUCCGACAGUCUCAGGCAGAGCGCUCCGCUCUACGCAUCUCUCCUCGCACGCAACUCGCGGAGAGAGGGGCUGAGGCGCGCCAAAGCUUUCCCUCGCUCCUCGCUGCCUGCAUCGCGCGUUCCCUCAGCCUGCUUCGCAGCCCGCGUUUUUGCGCCUCCGACAACGCCCUCCCGGUCCCGCCUCGCGCUUCCCCUCCCACCACACUCUCUUGCUGAGAGAGAGAGAGAGAGAGAGGCAAGAGACACCCCUGGAUUUCUUAGCGGCCCCCCAAAGAAGGAAACAAACAAAGAGUUGGUUAAACAACCCCACUCGCUUCUCAACUACCAAGGGCCUGAUUGCCAAGAAGUGAAGAAUUAGGGGCUGGAUCAUCUUCGGUACACAAUGAAGAUUGACUUUGGCUUUUCUGUCCAAGGCGUCCCAUGUUUGAUGAGUUCACUAUCUGCCAUGCUUUGCUGCCAUCCCCAUUGCUUCUAAGAAACCACAGUUUGGAGACAGGCCAUUGACUCUCCCUCCAUCCUUCACUGAAGACAGCUGGGGUCAGCAACGCAAGGCCACAGCAGGAAACCUCAACCUUUGAAAACAAAACCCACCCGCCUUCUGAAUCCCUCGCACCAUUUCCUCUCCUUCUAGGAUAAAGGCCUCUGGAUCCUAAGGGAUAGCUGAGAUCUUUCCUUGGCAAGGAGAACUUGCCUCUCCAGUCAAGUCUUUCCUCUCUUGUGGAGUUAAACGGCUGUAGUGCCUAUUACCAGAGCCAUCCUCUCUGGUGUGAGUGGCUUUAAUUUUGUUUUUCUCGUAAGGGAGAAGA
rnacentral:lncRNA from 1 species